rnacentral:rRNA from 1 species
AUUGAACGCUGGCGGCAGGCUUAACACAUGCAAGUCGAGCGAGUGGCGGACGGGUGAGUAAUGUCUGGGAAACUGCCUGAUGGAGGGGGAUAACUACUGGAAACGGUAGCUAAUACCGCAUACCAUCAGAUGUGCCCAGAUGGGAUUAGCUAGUAGGUGGGGUAAUGGCUCACCUAGGCGACGAUCCCUAGCUGGUCUGAGAGGAUGACCGGCCACACUGGAACGGGGACACGGGCAGAACUCCUACGGAAGGCGGCAGUGGGGAAUAUUGCACAAUGGGCGCAGGCCUGAUGCAGCCAUGCCGCGUGUGGGAAGAAGGCCUUCGGGUUGUAAAGCACUUUCAGCGAGGAGGCGUUACUCGCAGAAGAAGCACCGGCUAACUACGUGCCAGCAGCCGCGGUAAUUC